UUAGAGUAAAUAGACAAAAAACACAGCUCUUCAAAGACAAAUAAACUGCAAUUGUGCCUUAACCUUCAACUUUUCAAGCUCUAGGUAAAGUACCUGCCAUUCCAGUAGGAAUAUCAAAAGGACACUGUCGCCGCAAUGGACACCUGAAG